rnacentral:tRNA from 2 species
GCGGGUAUGGCGAAAUUGGCAGACGCACUAGACUUAGGAUCUAGCGCCGCAAGGCGUGCAGGUUCAACUCCUGUUACCCGCACCA